CGGAGGUGGUUGACCCGGCGUUGACCGCCGCUGUUGACCACCGGUUUGACCGCCGCUUGUGGCGGUGCGUGGCGGCGCGUCCAGCCGUAUUUUUGUGUUCUGUUUUCAGUUUAUUCAUCUAUGCAUCCAUACGAGCGUUUUGAUAUAUUAUAAGGUUAUUUUAGAAAAAGUUGAUAAAUAGUGGAUUUACGUUUUUACGUUUAUCUUCGGUUUUCGAUCUGUGAAGAUCAGACCAUCGGUUUUACUUCAAAUUUUAAUAUGUUGAUCGUAUGACUGUCCCGGUGACUUUGUGAGGUCACGGGCUAAGAUCCGACCGUUGGAUCUUCGUAUAAUUGUGAUUUAGUGAUUCGGAAGGCGAUUCGUGAGAAUCCGACCGUCGG
rnacentral:lncRNA from 1 species